rnacentral:rRNA from 1 species
AUUGAACGCUGGCGGCAGGCUUAACACAUGCAAGUCGAGCGAGUGGCGGACGGGUGAGUAAUGUCUGUGAAACUGCCUGAUGGCGGGGGAUAACUACUGGACACGGUCGCUAAUACCGCAUACCCUCAGAUGUGCCCAGAUGGGAUUAGCUAGUAGGUGGGGUAAUGGCUCACCUAGGCGACGAGCCCUAGCUGGUCUGCACGGAUGACCAGACACACUGGAACUGAGACACGGUCCAGACUCCUACGGGAGGCAGCAGUGGGGAAUAUUGUACAAUGGGCGCAAGCCUGAUGCAGCCAUGCCGCGUGUGUGAAGAAGGCCUUCGGGUUGUAAAGCACUUUCAGCGAGGAGGCGUUACUCGCAGAAGAAGCACCGGCUAACUCCGUGCCAGCAGCCGCGGUAAUUC